rnacentral:rRNA from 1 species
UACGAAGGGGGCUAGCGUUGCUCGGAAUCACUGGGCGUAAAGGGUGCGUAGGCGGGUCUUUAAGUCAGGGGUGAAAGCCCCCAGCUCAACUUGGGAAGUGCCUUUGAUACUGGCCAUCUCGAGGGAGGUAGGGGCGUGCGGAACUUCCGGUGGAGCGGUGAAAUGCGUAGAUAUCGGAAGGAACACCGGUGGCGAAAGCGGCGCGCUGGACCUCUUCUGACGCUGAGGUGCGAAAGCCAGGGGAGCAAACGGG